GCCCCUGAACAAUGGCCAUGGCACUAGGUAAGGUUAUGCUGCUAUGCCUAUAUUGCCCGGAGUAAACAUUUGAUGGGACAAAUUGCUUGUGCUGGAUAUGGUCAGUCUGUAGCUUGGUAGUCUUGUUUUUAAUUUUGGGUAAAAUUGUUGCUUGUACUAUCAAAUAUGCACUUUAAUCUGUUAUUGGAUAAGCCAAAUAUUAUCAAGACCAGUUUCUGUAUUUGUUUCUACACAUGGACAAAAUACUCUUUUAACAAACAGUACGACUGAUUGCUGACUCACUUGGAGCCACAAAUUCAUACUGCCAGCAUACUUGAUUGAGGAUGCAAUUCUUCCUUUUUUCAUUUUUUAAGAACCAAAUGUAAUUGCUGAUAAGUACUGUUGCUAUAGUGCUAGUGCACAACACCAGGAUUUUAUAUUACAUUUUUAUUAUGAUACCGGUGCAAAUGUAAUGGCUCCGAUAACAGACAAGUGCUUGCUAGUUGUACUUGUAGAAAUAAAUGAUCCCCAGAUCCACGAGGCUUGCCAACUGACUGCCACCAAGUUUGCACCCUCAUAGGUAUCUAGUACUUUUGCUGCUUUUUAUUAGCCGGUGUUAGUUGCUAUGAAGUAUAGCUAACUGUAGCCAAAACUGGAUGCUUAGCCUCUAGUUAUAAGGAUUACCUGCUGCUGCUUUUGCUACCUCUUAUGCUCCCUGAAUGAAAGGUUAUGCUUCUAUCUAGCAUUUGGCUUCUGUUUCUCGAUUUCUUGGACAAUGUUUUUCUCUCUUUUGAGAAUCAUCAAAUUUCACAAAGGUUGCUUGUGUUGUCAAAUAUGAACUAUUUAUUAGGAUCCAUUUCUGUACUACUAAUGUCUAUUGCCUUCUCCAUGCAUCCAGCAGUGUACAGGACGUCCUCCUCCUCAAAGUGUCCAUCCAUGACGAGCUCCCUUCGCUGCAGGAGGAGCAGCAAGUCCAGCACCUGCUUGUCUCCUGUGUCCUAUAGCGCGUGGACAAGCUCACCAAUGGAUGUGUCUUCCUUCCCUCCUACCGUGGUGAGCUUAUCCCCUCUCCCCACUUUGACCCUAAAUCUGGAUGACACUUGCAAUCUGAAUACAAAUCAUGUUUUGCUUCAGUUUAGAGGUGGAUUCAGUUUCUGAGAUGAACGUCUGAGCUUGAUUAGUUGUGAUGGUUUUGUGGGUCUGAUUCUCUUGCACUAUUACACAUAAUUUAAUUAGGGCAAGCUAAUGCUAAUCCAGAUAAUAUGACGUUACACUCACAGGAGCUCUACUCUCGUGAUUUUUAUUUCCUUUGAUGUGAUCCUGCAGAAAAAGAAUGCAUCUAUGCAUAGUAAAUAUUCAGUACGAUUUUUUAAAGCCUUGGAUGUAUAACAGGCCAAAGCAAGGAGUGUGCCGGAUUGAGCAGUGUAAUGGAAUCGUAACUCCAAGCUGUUGACUGUUGUGGCAUGUCAUCUGCCUUCAAACCAAUAUUAUGUGAGCAUGCCUU
rnacentral:lncRNA from 1 species